rnacentral:rRNA from 1 species
GUGGGGAAUAUUGGGCAAUGGGCGAAAGCCUGACCCAGCAACGCCGCGUGAAGGAAGAAGGUCUUCGGAUCGUAAACUUCUAUCCUUGGUGAAGAUAAUGACGGUAGCCGAGAAGGAAGCCCCGGCUAACUACGUGCCAGCAGCCGCGGUAAUACGUAGGGGGCAAACGUUGUCCGGAAUGAUUGGGCGUAAAGGGCGCGUAGGCGGCCUGGUAAGUCUGGAGUGAAAGUCCUGCUUUUAAGGUGGGAAUUGCUUUGGAUACUGUCGGGCUUGAGUGCAGGAGAGGUAAGUGGAAUUCCCGGUGUAGCGGUGAAAUGCGUAGAGAUCGGGAGGAACACCAGUGGCGAAGGCGACUUACUGGACUGUAACUGACGCUGAGGCGCGAAAGCGUGGGGAGCAAACAGGAUUAGAAACCCGAGUAGUCC